CUAAGUGAGUCCAAGGUGACUGACUGAGAAGCGUGACGCAGCACACACUUACCCAGGCGGAAGAAGAAGUAGUUCCCACCAAUUGCGUAU